rnacentral:rRNA from 1 species
UACGUAGGGUGCAAGCGUUGUCCGGAAUUAUUGGGCGUAAAGAGCGUGUAGGCGGCCCGGUUAGUCCGCUGUGAAAGUCCAGGGCUCAACCCUGGAAUGCCGGUGGAUACUGUCGGGCUAGAGUCCGGAAGGGCGAGUGGAAUUCCUGGUGUAGGCGGUGAAAUGCGCAGAUAUCAGGAGGAACACCAAUGGCGAAGGCAGCUCGCUGGGACGUGACUGACGCUGAGACGCGAAAGCGUGGGGAGCAAACAGG